rnacentral:rRNA from 1 species
AGGCCUUAGGGUUGUAAAGCGCUUUCAGCGGGGACGAUGAUGACGGUACCCGCAGAAGAAGCCCCGGCUAACUCCGUGCCAGCAGCCGCGGUAAUACGGAGGGGGCAAGCGUUGUUCGGAAUUACUGGGCGUAAAGGGCGCGUAGGCGGACUGUCAAGUCAGAGGUGAAAGCCCCGGGCUCAACCUGGGAACUGCCUUUGAAACUGAUAGACUAGAGUCCGGAAGAGGAUAGCGGAAUUCCCAGUGUAGAGGUGAAAAUCGUAGAUAUUGGGAAGAACACCAGUGGCGAAGGCGGCUAUCUGGUCCGGUACUGACGCUGAGGCGCGAAAGCGUGGGGAGCAAACAGGAUUAGAUACCCUGGUAGUCCACGCCGUAAACGAUGUGUGCUAGCCGUUGGGGGACCUAGUUCCUCGGUGGCGCCGCUAACGCUUUAAGCACACCGCCUGGGGA